UUUGCUUUCUGUCCUUAUUUGUGAUCCAUUGUCCUUUUAAUGGGUAAUAAAACAAUUUGAUAGGUUCUAGAAAUAGCCACAGAUUGACCUAUCAUCAAGAGGUGAAGUCUGUUUCCACAAUUCUUUAAAUUUGACCUGUGAUUUGCUCUGUCCCAUAGAAUGCAGCAGAAGUGAUAUUUUUCCAGUUCUAACCCUAGGCCUUGAGAAGUCGUGAAGCUUCCAUUCUCAUUCUAGAAAUGAUGAUGGAGAGUGAAAAUCCAUGUGGAUGGGGCGCCCAGCUGCCUCUGCCUUCCCAGCCAUCUCAGUUGAGGCCCACACCUGCGCGUGAACCCAGCUGAGAACACAGUAAACACAGCCCAAAUUACCAAGUCACAGAACAGUGAGUUGAAUCAUUGUUCCUGUUUUAAGCUGCUACCUUUCAGUAUGUUUUAUUAAGCAGCAGUAGAUAACAGAUACAAAUAGGAGCAAGAUCAUGAGCUGAGCGUGAAAGAUGGAGGCUGUGUUUGAAGGUUAAAGAGAAGCCCGAAAUGGAGAGGGUUUGAGAUGGUGUAUCUAUGUAUCCUGGGGAAAUAUAGUAGGGCUGCUGGAGAGCAUGAGGACUUCAUCUGAGUUCUAGCAUUGGACAUGAAGAUAACAGCCUUACUGAAGUCUACCAUUUUAUGAUGAGUCUUCAAAGGCAUCCAA